rnacentral:lncRNA from 1 species
GGGGGUGUGCGCUGUUCCGCAUAACCACUGCCUCCCAUGUCCUCCUCGAGGGCCGAACCGAGAGGGUGCUGGCAGGGCUGGAUCCCACGGGUGUCCGCAGGAGACAAAGGCGAAUUCCGGAGAAAAGGCUGGGGCUGAGAAAGGCGCUCCGGGAGCGGCUGGCAGGGCAAUUCGGCAGGCUGCACCGAAGCCGAGUGCCCGGAGGGACUUGCCGCCCGGAAGGGGGAGGUCCAACAGCCGAGCUUAGCCCACCGGGCUCUGGGAAAGACCCGACUGAGGCUAAAGCCGCCCCGGAAGGCCAAGUCCGAGUUCCAUUUCUUGAAGAGGCCGGCGCGCGUAAGGCUGUGACAUUGGCCCUGGCGACUGGCUUCCCAGGAGCUGUUCUUUCUCAGGAGCUCCACAGCGCGGGCCAUCUCCAGAAAACUGUCUUCAGAGUGUAUUUCCUUUUAUCGUCAACCCAGAGCCCCACCGCGGCUAAUGCAAGAGGCCAAAAAAUGUUUGGAGGAAGAAAAACAAAGGCAGGAAGUGGCGGCGGCCUGACGGUGCGUGUGUGUCUGCAGAGAAGGGAGGGAGCCGGCUCAGUCUCUUCUUGUUUUUCCAAACUUCAAGGUCCAGGCAGCCCUCUGCAGGGCCGGGCCCCAUUGCUCCCCGCGCGGCAUUGGAGGUGGCCGCCCGGAGAGGAGAAGGCCAACGCCUGCGCCAGGCUUGUCAGGCGGAAACGGCUAACAAGGAGAUUUGGUCAGCAAAACAGACCCAGCCUUUCCGAGGCUUCGUCUGACUUGGCCCGAAAGGUUGGGGAGGGGGGGCUUGCGCAGAGCCUCAGGGACCCUCCUCUCUGGGGACUACCAUCCCUGAGCCUUACGCUUCUUUCCACAGCCUUUGCAGGCGGAAUAUCGGAAUAAAGUGGGUCCAGGCGCC